rnacentral:tRNA from 1 species
CGGGAUGUAGCACAGCUUGGUAGCGCAUCCACUUGGGGAGCGGAAGACCGCAGGUUCAAAUACUGUCGCCCCUG